CAUCCAAGCCUGGAGAACAAAUAGCAGAAAAUGGGCAUCGUGGUUAACUCCUGAAACCUUUUCCCGAUACUCGCAGUCCUCGGAACUUCGUGCUCCCAGCUCUCCAAUGCUUUUCUUAUGGGCCCAGGAUAAAGAAAACAAUGAAGAAAGGGGACUGGAGAAUUAUACACCUGAAAACCUUGAUCCACUAUUGGUGUCUCUUCUAUUGCUCACAGAAAAAAA